GAUGAACGCUGGCGGCGUGCCUAAUACAUGCAAGUCGAGCGAACAGACGAGGAGCUUGCUCCUCUGACGUUAGCGGCGGACGGGUGAGUAACACGUGGAUAACCUACCUAUAAGACUGGGAUAACUUCGGGAAACCGGAGCUAAUACCGGAUAAUAUAUUGAACCGCAUGGUUCAAUAGUGAAAGACGGUUUUGCUGUCACUUAUAGAUGGAUCCGCGCCGCAUUAGCUAGUUGGUAAGGUAACGGCUUACCAAGGCAACGAUGCGUAGCCGACCUGAGAGGGUGAUCGGCCACACUGGAACUGAGACACGUUCCAGACUCCUACGGGAGGCAGCAGUAGGGAAUCUUCCGCAAUGGGCGAAAGCCUGACGGAGCAACGCCGCGUGAGUGAUGAAGGUCUUCGGAUCGUAAAACUCUUUUAUUAGGGAAGAAAAAAUGUGUAAGUAACUAUGCACGUCUGGACGGUACCUAAUCAGAAAGCCACGGCUAACUACGUG
rnacentral:rRNA from 1 species